rnacentral:rRNA from 1 species
AUGGCGCUCACAGAGCCUAAAGCGAAGCAAUGGCUGUUCUCACUUAUUGAGUCCCUCACACAUGAUCAGUUUGCCCUCUUGUCGAUUACUCUGUGGUCAAUCUGGCACGCGAGGCGCAAGGCGAUCCAUGAGGGGAUUUUUCAGAGUCCUCAGGCAACACAAAUUUUCAUCAGAAGAUACUGUGACGAGCUUAAUAUGAUCCGUCUGACAGUAAGGCGAACGAGUGCACCAAAUGUUCCAGUGGGACCGCAGAGACCCAAGGCACCUCCGGCGGGUUUUGCAAAAAUACACGUUGACGCUGCAGUCCGACCAGGGAAAGGUGGGUCAGCAGCUGCAAUUUGUCAUGAUUCAAAUGGAAAUUAUCUAGGGAGUUCAGCCCUAGUGGUGGAAGGAGUGGAUGAUCCGGCUUCUUUGGAAGCUAUGGCAUGCAGGGAGGCAAUGUGUUUGGCAGAGGAUCUCCUUAUCAACAACUACAUUGUGGCCUCUGAUUGUAAGCAAGUUGUCUCCGAUAUAAAUUCUGGUAGUAGAGGGCAUUACGGUGCCAUUCUGUCCGAGAUCAACCUUCCAGCUACCCUUUUUCAAUGUACUUUUUCUUUUGAGUGUCGUGCUGUAAAUUAUGAAGCACAUAGCCUAGCUAGAUUCUCUCUUAAAAGGGGACCGGGGCGCCAUCUGUGGCUUGGCCAACCCAUGACCUAUUUUGUAUCCCACUCUCUGUGGACUUCGAUUAAUAAAGUUGGCUUAAUCCUAAAAAAAAGUUAA